GUCUGGGAAGUGAGGAGCGUCUCUGCCUGGCCGUCCAUCGUCUGGGAUGUGAGGAGCCCCUCUGCCCGGCUGCCCAGUCUGGGAAGUGAGGAGCGCCUCUUCCCGGCCGCCAUCCCAUCUAGGAAGUGAGGAGCGUCUCUGCCCGGCCGCCCAUCGUCUGAGAUGUGGGGAGCGUCUCUGCCCCGCUGCCCCGUCUGGGAUGUGAGGAGCACCUCUGCCCGGCCGCCACCCCAUCUGGGAGUCUACAGGUGUAACCAGCAGCUCCGAAGAGACAGUAACCAUCAAGAACAGGCCAUAAUGAAGAUGGCGGUUUUGUCAAAAGAAAAGGGGGAAGUGUGAGGAAAAGAAAAAGAGAUCAGAUUGUUACUGUGUCUAUCUAGGAAAAGGAAGACAAAAGAAACUCCAUUUUGAUCUGUACUAAGAAAAAUUGUUCUGCUUUGAGAUGCUGUUAAUCUGUAACUCUUGUCCCAACCCUGUGCUCGCAAAAACAUGUGCUGUAUUGACUCAAGGUUUAAGGGAGGGCUGUGCAGGAUGUGCUUUGUUAAAAAUGUGUUUGCAGGCAGUAUAUUGGUGAAAGUCAUCGCCAUUCUCCAUUCUCUGUUAACCAGGGACACAAUGCACUGUGGAAGUCUGCAGGGACCCCUGCCCAAGAAAGCCUGGGUAUUGUCCAGGUUUCCCCCGACUGAGACAGCCUGAGAUAUGGCCUCAUGGGAAGGGAAAGAACUUACAGCCCCCCAGCCCUACACCCGUAAAGGGUCUGUGCUAAGGAGGAUUAGUGAAAGAGGAAGGCCUCUAUGCGGUUGAGAUAAGAGCGUGGCAUCUGUCUCCUGCACGUCCCUGGGAUUGGAUGUCUCAGCAUAAAACCGACCAUAUAUUCUAUUCUGAGACAGGAGAAAACCACCUUAUGGCUGGAGGUGAGACAUCAUGGCGGCAAUACUGCUCUGUUACUCUUUACUGCACUGAGUUGUUUAUGUAAGCUUAAACAUAAAUCUAGCGAUUGUGCACAUCCAGGCACAGCACCUUUUCUUAAACUUAUUUAUGACAGAGUCUUUGCUCACAUGUUCCUCUGCUGACCCUCUCCCCACCUUCACCCUAUAGCCCCGCCACACUCCCCUCGCAGAGAUAGUAAAGAUAGUGAUCAAUAAAUAUGGAGGGAACCAGAGACCAGUGCCAGUGCAGGUCCUCACUUGCUGAGUGCCGGUCCCCUGGGCCCACUUUUCUUCCUC
rnacentral:lncRNA from 1 species